rnacentral:ncRNA from 1 species
UGGUCCUGACCUUUAAGUCAAUUUUUAUUUAAAUUACACAUGCAAGUCUCCGCACCCCUGUGAAAACGCCCUCAAACCCCCUCCCCGGGGUAAGGAGCCGGUAUCAGGCCCAAUCAGCCCACGACACCUAGCUAUGCCACACCCACAAGGGAAAUCAGCAGUGAUUAACAUUGAAUAUAAGCGCAAGCUUGACUCAAUUAAAAUAAAAAGGGUCGGCAAAUCUGGUGCCAGCCGCCGCGGUUACACCAUGAGACUCAAAUUGAUUUAUAUCGGCGUAAAGAGUGAUUAAAGCUAUUUUAAACUGUAGUUAAACCGUAACUAAGCUGUUACACGCUUGUUACACUGAAACCCAUAAACGAAAGUCACUACAACACAACCAACUUGAAUUCACGACAGCUGAGAAACAAACUGGGAUUAGAUACCCCACUAUGCCCAACCGUAAACUUUAACUUACAUUAAAAUCGCCAGGGAACUACGAGCAAAGCUUAAAACCCAAAGGACUUGACGGUACCCCACAUCCACCUAGAGGAGCCUGUCCUAUAAUCGAUAAUCCCCGUUUAACCUCACCACUUUUAGCCUAUCAGCCUGUAUACCUCCGUCGUCAGCUUACCACGUGAGCGUUCCCAGUGAGCUUGAUGUCCACUCGUCAAAACGUCAGGUCAAGGUGCAGCUUAUAAAGCGGGAAGAGAUGGGCUACACUCUCUAACUUAGAACACACGAAAGACUACUUAUGAAACCUAGUCAGAAGGCGGAUUUAGAAGUAAAAAGAGAUGAGAAAGUUCUUUUUAAUAAGGCACUGGGGUGUGUACACACCGCCCGUCACCCUCUUCGAAGCUAAAAGCUAGUAUUUAACCACUUAGUAGUAAUAAAGAUGAGGUAAGUCGUAACAUGGUAAGUAUACCGGAAGGUGUGCUUGGAAA